GGAGGAUGGAGACACUCUUUUCAGCUUCCAGGAUGGCACUGAUAAGGUUAAUCUGCAGCCAAAUAAGGGAAGUUGUCUGGAGGAGCCUGGUUAUUAAGAGAGAAAGAUCUAGCUGAAUCCUCUAAGAUUUUAGGCAUACAAUGAACAGGAGAUUUCCAUCCAUUCUGGAAGUUUAUUACAAAAGCAAUGAAUGGGCUGGAGUUUAUGGAAAAAGGGAGGAGGACCAACUGAAAUGGCUAAGCAGCAAAAAUUAGAAGUAAGUAAAAACAGAAGCAGUGUAAAACAAAAU